AGAGUUUGAUUCUGGCUCAGAUUGAACGCUGGCGGCAUGCUUUACACAUGCAAGUCGAACGGCAGCGCGGGAAGCUUGCUUCCUGGCGGCGAGUGGCGGACGGGUGAGUAAUGCAUGGGAACGUGCCCUGCGGCGGGGAAUAGCAUCGGGAAACUGGUGGUAAUACCGCAUACGCUUUACGAAGGAAAGCGGGGGAUCUUCGGACCUCGCACCGCAGGAGCGGCCCAUGUCCGAUUAGCUUGAUGGCGGGGUAACGGACCACCAUGGCGACUAUCGGUAGCUGGUCUGAGAGGACGACCAGCCACACCGGGACUGAGAUACGGCCCGGACUCCUACGGGAGGCAGCAGUGGGGAAUCUUGGACAAUGGGGGCAACCCUGAUCCAGCAAUGCCGCGUGAGUGAAGAAGGCCUUCGGGUUGUAAAGCUCUUUCGUUGGGGAAGAAACUACGGGCGCUAACAUCGCCUGGAACUGACGGUACCCAAAUAAGAAGCACCGGCUAAGUACGUGCCAGCAGCCGCGGUAAUACGUAGGGUGCGAGCGUUAAUCGGAAUUACUGGGCGUAAAGGGUGCGUAGGCGGCCUGCCAAGUCAGAUGUGAAAUCCCCGAGCUUAACUUGGGAACUGCGUUUGAAACUAGCAGGCUAGAGUCCGGCAGAGGAAAGUGGAAUUCCGCGUGUAGUGGUGAAAUGCGUAGAUAUGCGGAGGAACACUCGUGGCGAAGGCGGCUUUCUGGGCCGUGACUGACGCUGAGGCACGAAAGCGUGGGUAGCAAACAGGAUUAGAUACCCUGGUAGUCCACGCCCUAAACGAUGUCUGCCAGUCGUCGGCGCGCUUGCGCGGCGGUGACGAAGUUAACGCGUGAAGCAGACCGCCUGGGGAGUACGACCGCAAGGUUAAAACUCAAAGGAAUUGACGGGGACCCGCACAAGCGGUGGAUGAUGUGGAUUAAUUCGAUGCUACGCGAACAACCUUACCCACCUUUGACAUCGUAGGGAAGGCCCAGGAGACUGGGCUGUGCCUUCGGGAACCCUGUGACAGGUGCUGCAUGGCUGUCGUCAGCUNGUGUCNUGAGAUGUUGGGUUAAGUCCCGCAACGAGCGCAACCCUUGUUAUCAGUUGCCAGCGGGUAAUGCCGGGAACUCUGGUGAUACUGCCAGUGACAAGCUGGAGGAAGGCGGGGACGACGUCAAGUCAUCAUGGCCCUUAUAGGUGGGGCUUCACACAUCAUACAAUGGUCGGUACAAAGGGUAGCCAACCUGCGAAGGGGAGCCAAUCUCAAAAAGCCGAUCGUAGUCCGGAUUGCAGUCUGCAACUCGACUGCAUGAAGCCGGAAUCGCUAGUAAUCGCAGAUCAGCAUGCUGCGGUGAAUACGUUCCCGGGUCUUGUACACACCGCCCGUCACACCAUGGAAGUGGGGGAUACUAGAAGCGGGUAGCUCAACCUUCGGGGAA
rnacentral:rRNA from 1 species